CUGCCUUCUGGGUCAACAGCCUGCUGAACAUCCUUCUCUAUGCUCAAGUCUCUGCGUCAUCUUCUUUUUAUCAUAAAAAUAUGGAGUCUAAUUUUUGAAGCUGGUAAUGCAGGAUGUGUUGUUAACAUGCCAAGUAUUUAUUGAACAUCGACUCUGCAAUCAACUUUCUCAAUAUUCUCUUGGCAACACCUCUGCUUCUGUCUUCCCUCCUUCACCUUAAAAUUUUCUGGAGGUCGGAAGUUCAUAACAAGUCUGAAAAGGUUAAAAUCAAGGUAUCAGCAGGGCUGCGCUCCAUCUGGAGGCUCCAGAGAACUCAUUUUCUUGCCUUUGCCAGCUUCUAGAGGCCCCCUGCAUUCCUUGGCUCAUGGCACCCUUCCAUCUUCGUAGCCAGCGACAGACUGAUGAAACCUCUGUGCUGGAAACUGAGAGAUAAAAAAGGCAUAAAAGAACUAUGUCUCUAGAAACUUUCCCUCUGAUCUGCGAGAGACAUUCGUUUCUCAAACCAGUGCCAUGUACCCAGGAAACAUAAUUCACACAGUCCUGUUUCAGGGAAGGAGUAACCUCUUGGAAACAUCUCAUCCUUUCCCAGGCCAAAAAUAUUACUCC
rnacentral:lncRNA from 1 species